rnacentral:rRNA from 1 species
UACAGAGGUCCCAAGCGUUGUUCGGAUUCACUGGGCGUAAAGGGUGCGUAGGUGGCCGGGUAAGUUCGAUGUGAAAGCUCUGAGCUCAACUCCGAAAUGGCAUUGAAUACUAUCCGGCUGGAGGGUUGGAGGGGGGACUGGAAUUCCCGGUGUAGCAGUGAAAUGCGUAGAUAUGUGGAGGAAGACCGAUGGCGAAGGC